AACCUCCGCAAUGUGAGAAAUCGCGACGGGGGGAUCCCAAGUGCCAUUCUUAACGGGAUGGCUUUUCAUUAGUGUAAAGAGCUUUUGGAAUAAGGGCUGGGCAAGACCGGUGCCAGCCGCCGCGGUAACACCGGCAGCUCUAGUGGUAGCAGUUUUUAUUGGGCCUAAAGCGUCCGUAGCCGGUUUAAUAAGUCUCUGGUGAAAUCCUGUAGCUUAACUGUGGGAAUUGCUGGAGAUACUAUUAGACUUGAGACCGGGAGAGGUUAGAGGUACUCCCAGGGUAGAGGUGAAAUUCUGUAAUCCUGGGAGGACCGCCUGUUGCGAAGGCGUCUAACUGGAACGGUUCUGACGGUGAGGGACGAAAGUUAGGGGCGCGAACCGGAUUAGAUACCCGGGUAGUCCUAGCCGUAAACGAUGCGGACUUGGUGUUGGGAUGGCUUUGAGCCGCUCCGGUGCCGAAGGGAAGCUGUUAAGUCCGCCGCCUGGGAAGUACGGUCGCAAGACUGAAACUUAAAGGAAGU
rnacentral:rRNA from 1 species